rnacentral:lncRNA from 1 species
UGGUACUCUAGUCAACACCUUGCUAAUCUACUGAAAUUGCUGUGGUGGUAAUUUCCAGUGACUUCGAAAGCGCCAAGUCCAAUAAACUUCGUCAGUUUCCACUUCCCACCUUAUUUGACUUAACUGGGGCACUGGAGAUGUUUAAUACCAUGGCUUCUGAGAGGUAUCUCAUGGCUCUUCUCCUCUCUGAUUUGUCCUUCUUUCUCUACUUUACUGGCUUCUAUUCUUUUACGUGUACCUUGAAUGUUGUGUUUUCCUUGGAGGUUGUUCUUGGCUUCCUUCUCUGUUUGUUCUCCAUUCUCUCUCUGGGCAUCUACUUCCCUGUUUUCACCAUGACUCAAUUCUCUACCCAACUCUCCCCUGAGUUCUGAUUAUUGUGUCAAAACUACUCACAGAAUGCUGGUUCCUGGUAUUCCACAGACUGUAAUGCAAUUGAAGGAUUGAAGGUAGGGACUGAACCUCAUGCAUCUGUGAGUUCACAGCAUCUACAAAGCUUGGUGUGCAGUUGUAGGGAUGUAUAUGUGAACUCUUGGUUAGCGGAGUGCAAAAACACUGAAUUUAAAUUUAAAAGAUGAAGCUUAGGUGUUGACUCCAUCAUUUAUCAGCUGUGUGACUUUGGGGCCCAUGGGACACCGUAGUGGAGCUGUCCAACAGGUGCUUGUUUAUAUCAGUCUGGCCUGAGGAUUUAGAGUUGGAAAAUUACCACCAUUCAAAGGUCUUGUUCAGUUUGCUGUGUUCUCUACUGCCAUCUGGUGGUCAAGAAGGAUCAAUCACUGCCCUUGCAAUGAAGAACUCUAUGAAAGCGAAGGCUUGGCCAUUUUGUGUUCAGCUCCUUCCAGUUAUCCUCUUGUGCAGGCAGAGUUGAGAAGCAAUGAUGUGGACUAAUGAUUCUAA